UACGAAGGGGGCUAGCGUUGUUCGGAUUUACUGGGCGUAAAGCGCACGUAGGCGGCUUUCUAAGUCGGGGGUGAAAUCCUGGAGCUCAACUCCAGAACUGCCUUCGAUACUGGAAAGCUCGAGUCCGGGAGAGGUGAGUGGAACUGCGAGUGUAGAGGUGAAAUUCGUAGAUAUUCGCAAGAACACCAGUGGCGAAGGCGGCUCACUGGCCCGGUACUGACGCUGAGGUGCGAAAGCGUGGGGAGCAAACAGG
rnacentral:rRNA from 1 species